CCAGCAGCUGCGGUAAUUCCAGCUCCAAUAGCGUAUAUUAAAGUUGUUGCAGUUAAAAAGCUCGUAGUUGGAUUUCUGGCAGUGGGCGUCUGCCCUUUUGAUAAGUGUGCAGAUGCGUGCUGCCAUCCUUCUGUUAACGCGGCGGUCGUUCACUCGGCCGUCGUCGGCUCAGAUAUUUUACCUUGAGAAAAUUAGAGUGUUUCAGGCAGGCUAGCGCCGGAAUACAUUAGCAUGGAAUAAUAGAAUAGGACUUUUACCUCUUCUACUGGUCAUGGGGUUUAAGUAAUGAUUAAUAGGGAUAGUUGGGGGCAUUGGUACUUAACUGUCAGAGGUGAAAUUCUCGGAUUUGUUAAAGACCAACUUAUGCGAAAGCAUUUGCCAAGGAUGUUUUCAUUAAUCAAGAACGAAAGU
rnacentral:rRNA from 1 species